rnacentral:rRNA from 1 species
GAUGAACGCUGGCGGCGUGCUUAACACAUGCAAGUCGAACGGAAAGGCCAGUGCUUGCCCUGGUACUCGAGUGGCGAACGGGUGAGUAACACGUGGGUGAUCUGCCCUGCACUUCGGGAUAAGCCUGGGAAACUGGGUCUAAUACCGGAUAGGACAAUGGUUUGGAUGCCGUUGUGGAAAGUUUUUUCGGUGUGGGGUGAGCUCGCGGCCUAUCAGCUUGUUGGUGGGGUAAUGGCCUACCAAGGCGUCGACGGGUAGCCGGCCUGAGAGGGUGUACGGCCACAUUGGGACUGAGAUACGGCCCAGACUCCUACGGGAGGCAGCAGUGGGGAAUAUUGCACAAUGGGCGCAAGCCUGAUGCAGCGACGCCGCGUGGGGGAUGACGGCCUUCGGGUUGUAAACUCCUUUCGCUAGGGACGAAGCGUAUUUGUGACGGUACCUGGAGAAGAAGCACCGGCUAACUACGUG